rnacentral:RNase_P_RNA from 1 species
UGAGUCGGCUGGACGGCCGCGGCGGACUAGAAGGGGCUUCUGGUUCGUCGAGGAAAGUCCGGGCUCCGCAGAGCAGGGUGGUGGGUAACACCCACCCGGGGCGACCCGCGGGAAAGUGCCACAGAAAGCAAACCGCCGGCCAGCGCUACGGCGUUGGCCGGUAAGGGUGAAACGGUGGUGUAAGAGACCACCAGCAUUCAGGGUGACCUGAGUGGCUCGGUAAACCCCACCCGGAGCAAGGCCAGACAGGCGGCGUUUGAGGGCUGCUCGCCCGAGUCGCCGGGUAGGCCGCUUGAGGCCCAUGGCAACAUGGUGCCCAGAUGGAUGGCCGUCUUCAAAGACAGAACCCGGCUUACAGGCCGGCUCAUCCG